GAUGAACGCUAGCGGCAGGCUUAAUACAUGCAAGUCGUGGGGCAGCAGGCCUGUAGCAAUACCGUUGCUGGCGACCGGCACACGGUUGCUGAACACGUACGCAACUUACCCUGAACUGUGGGAUAGCCCGUGGAAACCCGGAUUAAUACCCCGUCAUAUAAUGGAGUGGCCUCACUUUAUUCUUAAAGCUCCGGCGGUUCGUGAUUGGCGUGCGGCUGAUUAGGUAGUUGGUUGAGGUAACGGCUCACCAAGCCUACGAUCAGUAACUGGUGUGAGAGCACGACCAGUCACACGGGCACUGAGACACGGGCCCGACGCCGACGGGAGGGAGCAGUAAGGAAUAUUGAGCAAGGGAGGCAACUCUGACCCAGCCAUGCCGCGUGGAGGAUGAAGGCGCUCGGGGUUGUAAACUUCUUUUAUAGGGGACGAAACCUGUGUAUUCUGACGCAGUUGACGGUACCCUAGGAAUAAGCACCGGCUAACUCCGUG
rnacentral:rRNA from 1 species